rnacentral:lncRNA from 1 species
UUUCUUGGCGGCCAUAAGAAACACUCAUUUGAAUACCCCUACUUUUGAACAGAUCUUGAAUUUGUGGCAGGAAUAUUGCAACUUUUUUCUGAAGAUCACCUCUUUGAUAGAAGAUUGUGGCACGCAUAUAAUUAUUUGCACAUGAUGCUGAUGUUUGGACUUUGCAGUUUUUACAUUGCAUUAAAUACUUUGUAUUCUCCAAGACAGUUAUUAGAUUGCUAUUAUUGCAACCUUUGUUUGGACAACUUAAAUAACGGUCACAUCAAGACACUUGUGAUCACUCCAUUUCAACAUUACUAUCCACUGCUUCAUCUUCCUUGCUUUCCUCUUCUUCUUGACAAAUACCGAAAGG